rnacentral:rRNA from 1 species
GACGUAGGGGGCCAGCGUUGUUCGGAAUUACUGGGUGUAAAGGGUUCGUAGGCGGUGUGGCAAGUCGGGAGUGAAAUCUCUGGGCUCAACUCAGAGACUGCUUCCGAAACUGCUGUGCUGGAGUGUGGGAGAGGCGCGUGGAAUUGCAGGUGUAGCGGUGAAAUGCGCAGAUAUCAGGAGGAACACCAAUUGCGAAGGCAGCUCGCUGGGACGUUACUGACGCUGAGACGCGAAAGCGUGGGGAGCAAACAGG